CGAGAGGAUUAUUUCUGCGAGAGAGAGAGAGGGUUGGGGAAGGUCAGGUUCAGAGGGAAGAGGAAGAUCUCAGUCAAAAGUCAAGACCCUCGUUUCCACCUCCUGCGGCGUGAUUCGGGCAAUCGGGCUCUGCCGCUCGUCUCUCCUUUCAGCAUCCAUCGCCGCUGCUUGAGCUCUGCCUCCACUUAUCUACUACAGUCUACAGGUGAGGCUCUUGGCUGGAACUAGGAAGUCAUGUUGAGUGGCCACGCCGUGACACUGAGCGAGAGGAGCGCCUCCGGUACGCGCUUGAUCGAGGAUGUAGCGUGCGAGGCAGGCGAUGAGGAGGAGGCGGACGCCGCCGCGAGAGUUGUGUACCGGGCCUCGUUCCAAGAGCUGAUGCCCAACUACCUUCAGUACGACACCAUCAUCUGGGCACUCAUAUCCCUGCUGCUUGUCCUGGCGUGGGGGAUCGGGCUGCUCCUGCUUCUCUACCUGCCGUACAAGAGAUACGUGCUGAAGAAGGAUAUCCUAUCCCGCCAACUCUUUGUCACCGAGAGUAAGAUAGUGUACAAGGCGACUAGGCCUUCGUACAUGCCAUUCAUGGGGAUAGUUAAGAAAGAGAUUAAAGUACCUCUCCAUUUGAUUGUUGAUGUUAUAAUUGAGCAAGGAGAGCUGUGCAUACCUAUAUACCCCACUUGAUGGAUUCAUUUGUGUGAAGCUAUAAUUCAGCUAUGUACUUCAGCCAGGCAUUGGUUCUUUGUAAAAAUUCACUGAAUGUUCAAGGAAAAAAUCACUGAUGGACGUAUUAAUGCAUUUUACUCAUCUAAAUGUUACAGGAAUAUAUGCCUUAUCUUGUACUAGUUCGUAUCUCAUGCAUAAACUUGAACAGAAAAUUGUGAAAUUGCCUUCUUUAAAAGUUAGGACUGUAUGUGUGUAUGUUUCUGAAAAAAAGGAUCUAUUAUGCAGGCUGUCUACAAUCUGCUUACAGCUUAUACACAUUUAGAAUAGAAAGCAUAGCCCAUGGGAAACCUGCUUCAGUGGAUGAACUGCAAUUUCAUGGUGUCCAUAAUCCAGAUUUUCUAAGAAAGGUUAUAACCAGAGAAGCCUCCAGGAGCAUCAGAGAAGUCCAAAGUUGGAAAAAUAGAUUGUACUCCGAGGAAGGUCCUUCUCAUGUUCAAAGUAGUGGAUUACACUCACCUAGUGCAAAGGUCAGAGCUUCCCCAAUCUGUGCUGCCUUUGAUUCUAAGGGUAAAAUUUCUGACAAUAUAUUGCUCCAUAAGAUUGAAGAACUUAAUCGAUCAGUGAAGAAUCUUGAGUCUCUACUCGUAAGAUCACAUAGAAGAGAAUGAUCUGAUAUUAUAUCAUCUUUGAAAAUUAGCUCAAAUUAAACAUGGAAAGAACAGGAGGAACAAGUGGAGUAUAUGAACUCUGUUUUUCUAUUUAGUCCUUCAGAUCAGAUACCAUGGGAAAUUGCAAAGCUGCUCAUGCCGUGAAGGAGCUUCUAGUUUGAUUCAAGUUUCACAAGUUAUCUGUUGUACAUAGGUCUUGCUGAUUCUUCCAAGUUUCACAAUUUGAUGUACAAAGAAUCACAGAAUCAGUGGACAGUGGUCUAGGGUCACAAAGUAGAUCAACGUACAUGUAAGCUUGUUUACUGUAUAAAUUCUAAAAUGGUAAUCUGUGCCAAUACGUGUACUGUAAUGGGCUUAGGCUCAGCCCAUAUAUGUUUAUAGCUAUCAAUACAACAUUCUAAUCCU